UACGUAGGGGGCAAGCGUUGUCCGGAUUUAUUGGGCGUAAAGAGCGUGUAGGCGGUCUGGUAGGUCCGUUGUGAAAACUCGAGGCUCAACCUCGAGACGCCGAUGGAAACCCUCAGACUAGAGUCCGGAAGAGGAGAGUGGAAUUCCUGGUGUAGCGGUGGAAUGCGCAGAUAUCAGGAGGAACACCGAUGGCGAAGGCAGCUCGCUGGGACGGUACUGACGCUGAGGCGCGAAAGCGUGGGGAGCGAACAGG
rnacentral:rRNA from 1 species